rnacentral:misc_RNA from 1 species
GAUGAAGAACGUAGCGAAAUGCGAUAAGUAAUGUGAAUUGCAGAAUCCAGUGAAUCAUCGAAUCUUUGAACGCACAUUGCGCCCGCCAGCAUUCUGGCGGGCAUGCCUGUUCGAGCGUCAUUUCAACCCUCGACCUCCCUUUGGGGAAGUCGGCGUUGGGGACCGGCAGCACACCGCCGGCCCUGAAAUGGAGUGGCGGCCCGUCCGCGGCGACCUCUGUGUAGUAAACCAACUCGCACCGGAACCCCGACGUGGCCACGCCGUAAAACACCCAACUUCUGAACGUUGACCUCGAAUCAGGUAGGACUACCCGCUGAACUUAAGCAUAUCAAUAAGCGGAGGA